UGCCAACUGGGUGUCCACACUAAGUUCGGCAUCAAUAUGAUGACUUCCUGGGAGCAGGGCGCUACCAGCUUACCUAAGGAUGGGUGAACUGGCCCAGGUCAGAAAUGAAGCAGGUCAGAACUCCCAUGCUGAUCAGUAGUGGGACUGCACCUGGGCA
ensembl:misc_RNA Metazoa_SRP Metazoan signal recognition particle RNA